GAAUAUUGGACAAUGGGCGAAAGCCUGAUCCAGCCAUGCCGCGUGUGUGAAGAAGGUCUUCGGAUUGUAAAGCACUUUAAGUUGGGAGGAAGGGUUGUAGAUUAAUCCUCUGCAAUUUUGACGUUACCGACAGAAUAAGCACCGGCUAACUACGUGCCCGCAGCCGCGGUAAUACGUAGGGUGCAAGCGUUAAUCGGAAUUACUGGGCGUAAAGCGUGCGCAGGCGGUUUUGUAAGACAGAGGUGAAAUCCCCGGGCUCAACCUGGGAACUGCCUUUGUGACUGCAAGGCUAGAGUACGGCAGAGGGGGGUGGAAUUUCCUGUGUAGCGGUGAAAUGCGUAGAUAUAGGAAGGAACACCAGUGGCGAAGGCGACCACCUGGGCUCAUACUGACACUGAGGUGCGAAAGCGUGGGGAGCAAACAGG
rnacentral:rRNA from 1 species